rnacentral:rRNA from 1 species
UGGGGAAUAUUGCACAAUGGGCGAAAGCCUGAUGCAGCAACGCCGCGUGAGUGAUGAAGGUCUUCGGAUUGUAAAGCUCUGUCUUUUGGGACGAUAAUGACGGUACCAAAGGAGGAAGCCACGGCUAACUACGUGCCAGCAGCCGCGGUAAUACGUAGGUGGCGAGCGUUGUCCGGAUUUACUGGGCGUAAAGGGUGCGUAGGCGGAUGUUUAAGUGAGAUGUGAAAUACCCGGGCUUAACUUGGGUGCUGCAUUUCAAACUGGAUAUCUAGAGUGCAGGAGAGGAGAAUGGAAUUCCUAGUGUAGCGGUGAAAUGCGUAGAGAUUAGGAAGAACACCAGCGGCGAAGGCGAUUCUCUGGACUGUAACUGACGCUGAGGCACGAAAGCGUGGGU